rnacentral:rRNA from 1 species
UAGCCGUAAACGGUACUCGCUAGGUGUCGGCCACGGUGCGACCGUUGUCGGUGCCGUAGGGAAGCCGUGAAGCGAGCCACCUGGGAAGUACGGCCGCAAGGCUGAAACUUAAAGGAAUUGGCGGGGGAGGCACUACAACGGGUGGGAGCCUGCGGUUUAAUUUGGACUCAACGCCGGAAACUACACCGGGGGCGGACAGCAAUAUGUAGGUCAAGCUAAAGACUUUACCUAGAAUCGCUGAGAGGUGGUGAUGGCGUAGUCGUGU